UCUCUACCUGUCAAUCUCUUCUCUUGAGCAGCGUGGGGAUUGGAAGCAAGUUAGCUCAGCUUGUCAUGAAUUCUGCUAUUAUUCAUACAAUCUGGUGUAUUUGGCUUGAGAGAUAUAGAAGGUACUUCACCGGAAAACAUUCUUCCAUGGGCUCUUUAAUCAACCUAAUCAUCACAGAAGUUAAAUUAAGCUUUGAUCGAUAUAUCUCUAGUUGCCAGCACUGCUGCUAUGUCUGAUUUCAAGCUCUCUCAACUAUUU
rnacentral:lncRNA from 1 species